AUUAGCCCCAGGGGUACAGGUCUGUGAAUCACCAGGUUUACACACUUCACAGCACUCACCAUAGCACAUACCUUCCGCAGUGUCCGUAACCCAAACACCCUUUCUCUAACUGCCCCCCCCAGCAACCCUCAGUUUGUUUUGUUAGAGUAAGAGACUCUUA